CCGAGUUAUCAACUCCCAAACCCCUGUGAACAUACCUCGACGUUGCUUCGGCGGGACCGCCCCGGCGCCCAUCUGCGGCCCGGAACCAGGCGCCCGCCGGGGGACCCAAACUCCUGCUUUGAUCAGUGGCAUUCUCUGAGUCCCGAAACAAAAAUGAAUCA
rnacentral:misc_RNA from 1 species